rnacentral:lncRNA from 1 species
AUGUGCCUUUAUUGCUGGUGUUCACUUGUGUCGUAUCUUCUGGAGCUGAGUAAUAUGGCCUUUAUGACCACCUGUGUGACUGCAGUGUGGAUCUAUGUACCGGCACAGCCAGGAGGCCCGGAGAGUGGGGAUGAUGCAGAGGAGCCCGUGCAGUUGGACAGUGAGCAUACCUUUGAUGUGGAGUAACAAAAGGGUUGCCAUUUUUCGGGGUGGAGUGUUGAGGCUGCAGCGUGGAAAUGUCUGCUAAAGGAGAGUCCACAUGGGUUCACACAUCAGUGAGAGGGACAGCAGGACAUGGACCAGGCACCAGGCCUCCUUCUCCCUGUGGUGUCUCCUAGUGCAACAUUCCAAGAAUUUGAUCAUUUUAAAUUCAAAGGUGUUCUUUCAACCUCAUUAGAUGGAAUAGAAUAAAGAAAAUACCCACAACAUAUAAUUUUUGGUCUUGUUUUAUUCUCUUGUCUCACAAAUCACAGAGGUGGUCUAUUCAUCUGUGAGGAAGAAGGUAUUUUCUGAGGUAUAGAGAUCUCCCUCCCCAUUUUGGAUAGAUUCUAAGGUAUCUAUUGAGUUGUGUAAAGCCCUGUCAUGGACUCAGUCUUCAUGACCCCUCUGUGAGACAGAAAUGAACAAUGCCAUUCUACAGAUGAGGAAACAAGACUUAGUGAAGUUAAGUGUCUUACUCAGGCACAUGGCUAGAGUGCUGAGCAAAGAUGGCAAUGACUGCCUUCAUGUCUGGAGCUCCUUUCUGUCUAGGAAGCAGCUGUUGAAGAUUACAGGUAGAUCUUUGGCUUGAAGAGUUUCCAAAGCUUGGCUCUAAACUCCUGCCACUAUACACUGUACUUAAAGUACAAUGACUUGGGAAAGGAUUGUAUUUGAUUUAUUUGGAGAAGAGACUGCAUUGUCAAAAAUCUAGAAAAUUAUUCUGAGUUAAACAUAAUACCACCCCCACCCCCGCUGAGUGGAGAUGUAUUUAUCUGGGGUAGAUAGCUCAUGGUGAGGGGCUGCAAUGGGCACUUUUUAUGAAUUCUCAAUAGUAAGCUUUGAAACCCAGAAUCUACUAGAUCUUUGCUCACUGGGCCUCCAUGGUCCCAGGAAGCAAAAUACACUGUGAGUCUAUUGGAUGGUACCUUUGAUUUGAGAAAAAAAAAAUGGCAAAAAUUUAACACGUGGGCUCAAAAUUACAUCUAUCAUGCUUCUUCUUUGUCCAAAUGUCUUUCCCUCUGUCAAGAAUGCUGUUCCUUGCUUUUCACCUUGAGCAACUUUUCUCCUUCCCCAAGACCCAGAUCCGGGGGGGAGCUCCUUCUCUGAAUUUGGUACUCUUGGUCUUUGCUCCC